UCUGUUGUUUCAGACAUCAGUUGUCUCUGGGUUUUGGUGGCUCUUCAGAUAAUAAGAGCAGGUGGCCAUGGCCUUGGCAGGCCGAGGAGUCUGGCAGACGUGAGUGAUCUUGGCUGGCAUAUUAGAAGACAUGGACCCAGAGAAGAAAGCGUAAGGUGUGGUGGGGCAGCGGAAAGGACUCUGGGUCUAGGCCUCUCAAGACUUCUGCGCCCAGUAAGGAGUCAGGAAUUACACAUCGGACCAGAGGCAUUUGAGAACAUUUACCGGCUGUUGACGGGAACCAGUACAGAGGGAGGUAUAAACACAGGAGAGGGGAGGAUGGAUCAUUGAGAAUUGAACCCCGGAGAGUUCUUGGGAUGGAUUGGAUGUAGACAGGAAGAGGAUACCACAUUUUCUCACUUGAGAACGACAAUCUCCAGGUCCAUCCAUGUUGCUGCAAAUGGAAUUAUUUUAUUCUUUUUCGU